GUUUAAAAUUACUAUUUAUGGCCAAUCAGCAAGAUAAAUAACUAACAACAAAUUGGAAGAUGACAAAAGUAGCAUAUUUGCCAAGAGAUGGAAAACUAAAAGGAUGGACAGAUGCUUGAAGCUGAAAAUAAAAUAUGCAAGCAGCUGACAGUACAUCUAGAUGAUACCAAUAAUAUUCCAAUAUCUUAGUCAAUAUAAAAAGCUUCACAAAGAAA
rnacentral:misc_RNA from 1 species